rnacentral:rRNA from 1 species
AGAGCUUGAUCCUGGCUCAGGAUGAACGCUGGCGGCGUGCUUAACACAUGCAAGUCGAACGGGAAUUACUUUAUUGAAACUUCGGUGGAUUUAAUUUAAUUCUAGUGGCGGACGGGUGAGUAACGCGUGGGUGACCUGCCCCAUACCGGGGGAUAACAGCUGGAAACGGCUGCUAAUACCGCAUAAGCGCACAGAGCUGCAUGGCUCGGUGUGAAAAACUCCGGUGGUAUGGGAUGGGCCCGCGUCUGAUUAGGCAGUUGGCGGGGUAACGGCCCACCAAACCGACGAUCAGUAGCCGGCCUGAGAGGGCGACCGGCCACAUUGGGACUGAGACACGGCCCAAACUCCUACGGGAGGCAGCAGUGGGGAAUAUUGCACAAUGGGGGAAACCCUGAUGCAGCGACGCCGCGUGGAGGAAGAAGGUCUUCGGAUUGUAAACUCCUGUUGUUGAGGAAGAUAAUGACGGUACUCAACAAGGAAGUGACGGCUAACUACGUGCCAGCAGCCGCGGUAAAACGUAGGUCACAAGCGUUGUCCGGAAUUACUGGGUGUAAAGGGAGCGCAGGCGGGCGAUCAAGUUGGAAGUGAAAUCCAUGGGCUCAACCCAUGAACUGCUUUCAAAACUGGUCGUCUUGAGUAGUGCAGAGGUAGGCGGAAUUCCCGGUGUAGCGGUGGAAUGCGUAGAUAUCGGGAGGAACACCAGUGGCGAAGGCGGCCUACUGGGCACCAACUGACGCUGAGGCUCGAAAGUGUGGGUAGCAAACAGGAUUAGAUACCCUGGUAGUCCACACCGUAAACGAUGAUUACUAGGUGUUGGGAGAUUGACCCUCUCAGUGCCGCAGUUAACACAAUAAGUAAUCCACCUGGGGAGUACGACCGCAAGGUUGAAACUCAAAGGAAUUGACGGGGGCCCGCACAAGCAGUGGAGUAUGUGGUUUAAUUCGACGCAACGCGAAGAACCUUACCAAGUCUUGACAUCCCUUGACGAUGCUGGAAACAGUAUUUCUCUUCGGAGCAAGGAGACAGGUGGUGCAUGGUUGUCGUCAGCUCGUGUCGUGAGAUGUUGGGUUAGGUCCCGCAACGAGCGCAACCCUUAUGGUCAGUUACUACGCAAGAGGACUCUGGCCAGACUGCCGUUGACAAAACGGAGGAAGGUGGGGAUGACGUCAAAUCAUCAUGCCCUUUAUGACUUGGGCUACACACGUACUACAAUGGCGUUAAACAAAGAGAAGCAAGACCGCAAGGUGGAGCAAAACUCAGAAACAACGUCCCAGUUCGGACUGCAGGCUGCAACUCGCCUGCACGAAGUCGGAAUUGCUAGUAAUCGUGGAUCAGCAUGCCACGGUGAAUACGUUCCCGGGCCUUGUACACACCGCCCGUCACACCAUGAGAGCCGGGGGGACCCGAAGUCGGUAGUCUAACCGCAAGGAGGACGCCGCCGAAGGUAAAACUGGUGAUUGGGGUGAAGUCGUAACAAGGU